AGGAGGGUCCCAACUUUCUGUGCCGCAGUUAACACAUUAAGUAUUCCGCCUGGGGAGUACGGUCGCAAGACUAAAACUCAAAGGAAUUGACGGGGGCCCGCACAAGCAGCGGAGCAUGUGGUUUAAUUCGAAGCAACGCGAAGAACCUUACCUGGACUUGACAUCCCCUGAAUUACUCGUAACUGAGGAAAUCUCUUCGGAGACAGGGAGACAGGUGGUGCAUGGUUGUCGUCAGCUCGUGUCGUGAGAUGUUGGGUUAAGUCCCGCAACGAGCGCAACCCUUAUUAUUAGUUGCUACCAUUAAGUUGAGCACUCUAAUGAGACUGCCCGGGUGAACCGGGAGGAAGGUGGGGAUGACGUCAAAUCAUCAUGCCCCUUAUGUCCAGGGCUACACACGUGCUACAAUGGUGGGUACAGAGAGAAGCAAUACCGCGAGGUGGAGCAAAUCUCAAAAACCCAUCCCAGUUCGGAUUGCAGGCUGAAACUCGCCUGCAUGAAGCCGGAGUUGCUAGUAAUCGCAAAUCAGAAUGUUGCGGUGAAUACGUUCCCGGGCCUUGUACACACCGCCCGUCACACCAUGAGAGUUGGCAACACCCGAAGUCCGUGAGGUAACCGUAAGGAGCCAGCGGCCGAAGGUGGGGUUAAUGAUUGGGGUGAAGUCGUAACAAGGUAGAGCUCUCAGUCAGUCAA
rnacentral:rRNA from 1 species